GGGGAAUAUUGCACAAUGGGCGAAAGCCUGAUGCAGCGACGCCGCGUGAGGGAUGACGGCCUUCGGGUUGUAAACCUCUUUCAGCAGGGAAGAAGCGAAAGUGACGGUACCCAAAGAAUAAGCACCGGCUAACUUCGUGCCAGCAGCCGCGGUAAUACGAAGGGUGCAAGCGUUACUCGGAAUUACUGGGCGUAAAGCGUGCGUAGGUGGUCGUUUAAGUCCGUUGUGAAAGCCCUGGGCUCAACCUGGGAACUGCAGUGGAUACUGGGCGACUAGAGUGUGGUAGAGGGUAGCGGAAUUCCUGGUGUAGCAGUGAAAUGCGUAGAGAUCAGGAGGAACAUCCAUGGCGAAGGCAGCUACCUGGACCAACACUGACACUGAGGCACGAAAGCGUGGGGAGCAAACA
rnacentral:rRNA from 1 species